rnacentral:rRNA from 1 species
AUAAGCGCCGGUAAGGUGAUAUGAACCGUUAUAACCGGCGAUACCCGAAUGGGGAAACCCAGUGUGAUUCGUCACACUAUCAUUAACUGAAUCCAUAGGUUAAUGAGGCGAACCGGGGGAACUGAAACAUCUAAGUACCCCGAGGAAAAGAAAUCAACCGAGAUUCCCCCAGUAGCGGCGAGCGAACGGGGAGGAGCCCAGAGCCUGAAUCAGCAUGUGUGUUAGUGGAAGCGUCUGGAAAGGCGCGCGAUACAGGGUGACAGCCCCGUACACAAAAGCGCAUGUGCUGUGAGCUCGAUGAGUAGGGCGGGACACGUGGUAUCCUGUCUGAAUAUGGGGGGACCAUCCUCCAAGGCUAAAUACUCCUGACUGACCGAUAGUGAACCAGUACCGUGAGGGAAAGGCGAAAAGAACCCCGGCGAGGGGAGUGAAAAAGAACCUGAAACCGUGUACGUACAAGCAGUGGGAGCACCCUUUGGGUGUGACUGCGUACCUUUUGUAUAAUGGG